rnacentral:rRNA from 1 species
UACGUAGGUGGCAAGCGUUGUCCGGAUUUACUGGGCGUAAAGAGCGCGCAGGCGGCUGGGCAAGUCCGAUGUGAAAGCUUCCGGCUUAACUGGAAAAUUGCAUCGGAAACUGCUCGGCUUGAAGGUGGGAGAGGGUAGCGGAAUUCCCGGUGUAGUGGUGAAAUGCGUAGAUAUCGGGAGGAGCACCAGUGGCGAAGGCGGCUACCUGGCCCACUCUUGACGCUGAGGCGCGAAAGCUAGGGGAGCAAACGGG